GAGUCCUGAAGGAACGUUGAAGACGACGACGUUGAUAGGCCGGAUGUGUAAGCGCAGCGAUGCGUUGAGCUAACCGGUACUAAUGAACCGUGAGGCUUAACCUU
rnacentral:rRNA from 1 species